GAUGAACGCUGGCGGCGUGCUUAACACAUGCAAGUCGAACGGAAAGGCCCAAGCUUGCUUGGGUACUCGAGUGGCGAACGGGUGAGUAACACGUGGGUGAUCUGCCCUGCACUUCGGGAUAAGCCUGGGAAACUGGGUCUAAUACCGGAUAGGACCACAUUUUGGAUGGUGUGGUGGAAAGGUUUUCGGUGUGGGAUGAGCUCGCGGCCUAUCAGCUUGUUGGUGGGGUAAUGGCCUACCAAGGCGUCGACGGGUAGCCGGCCUGAGAGGGUGUACGGCCACAUUGGGACUGAGAUACGGCCCAGACUCCUACGGGAGGCAGCAGUGGGGAAUAUUGCACAAUGGGCGCAAGCCUGAUGCAGCGACGCCGCGUGGGGGAUGACGGCCUUCGGGUUGUAAAUUCCUUUCGCUAGGGACGAAGCGUUUUUGUGACGGUACCUGGAGAAGAAGCACCGGCUAACUACGUG
rnacentral:rRNA from 1 species